CCAUUUUGGAAACAGAUGCUAAUACCGGAUAAAAAGCUACUUUCGCAUGAAAGAGUUUUAAAAAGGCGGCGUAAGCUGUCGCUAAAGGAUGGACCUGCGAUGCAUUUAGCUAGUUUGGUAAGGUAACGGCUUACCAAGGCGAUGAUGCAUAGCCGAGUUGAGAGACUGAUCGGCCACAUUGGGACUGAGACACGGCCCAAACUCCUACGGGAGGCAGCAGUAGGGAAUUUUCCACAAUGGACGCAAGUCUGAUGGAGCAACGCCGCGUGAGUGAAGAAGGUUUUCGGAUCGUAAAGCUCUGUUGUUGGUGAAGAAGGAUAGAGGUAGUAACUGGCCUUUAUUUGACGGUAAUCAACCAGAAAGUCACGGCUAACUACGUGCCAGCAGCCGCGGUAAAU
rnacentral:rRNA from 1 species